AAAGCUGUUAAUAUUGUCAACUCAUUGUUUUGUAUGAGUCAAGCAAGCUUUGGUAGGUGAAAAAUAAGAUGGUACCACUAAAGUAAAACCUUAAAUAACUGAUUCUCAGUCCAGGUUAGACACCUUCAAGCUAUCCCAGCACUUCAGAAAAGUGGGAGAGAUUUGGCUCUGCCCUGGGAAGAGAGGUUUUGUUCUGACAUACAACUGAUGCAGGGCUCUACAGGCCAGGCAGCUGGCGGUGUCAGAGGUGUGUCAAGAACAUGACAAAAACAUGCUGCACUGCAGAUUUUCUCUGCAUUGUAGGACCAUUUGGCUCUUCAGUAUUCCUCACAGUUCAGUUCUGCAUGCAGCUGAGCAGGUCAGCUCCAUAAAAUGAGGAGAAUUUGCUGGCUCUGCACUGCCUUCRGUGUUUUUAUUUCCAUCCUCAGAUGGAAAUAAAUGUUACAUGUGCUGACUGCUCAGCUCUAAGCUCAGUCCUGUGGCAAGGCAGUGGCAAGGUCUGAAAGCUGACCUGCUGCUUUCUAUAGAAAUGAACAAGWGGAUGUAGUUCAUCAGUCUUGUGGCAGUUCUCUGGAAACCUUGACCGGAUGUAUUUGUGAGCUGCAGAUUUUGGAAAAUGUGCCCCAUUCCAACUUUACAGAUACUAGAGAUCCAUUAGUAUCUUUUCUGUGAGGAAGAUGAAAGACAUCUUGCUUUUGGCCAUAUUACAGAUAGAUUCAAAUUCAGUUGGAGCUAUACUAUGAGAGCUUGUUUAGGGGCUACAUAAUAGUGGCUACAUGGGAGAUGCAGAAGAAGGUAUUCAGCCCCAAAGUGUUGCUUCCCACCCCUAUUUCAGCACAGAAAUACCUCUGCAGGGUAUGGUGGCAGGGAGCACGGGCUUUUGGCAUUUGGCUUUCUGCUCUCACUCCCAAAACUCUGCAACAGUUCUCCUGCACAGGAUGUCCACGCUGAGCAAGAGUAUCUGUAUGAAACUAAACAGUGUGCUCUCUUCUCUGCCUUUCAGUAUGAGCAGGAGGGAGACAAGCUCCACCGCAGUGCCAUUGCUUCUCCCCACCUCAGGAGUUCCUUUCCCUUCCGCUCUGACACUUCCUGAGGAUGCAGCAYUCAUGGGAGUGGUUGGCUUCAAGGGAAGUUAUGAUGGGGCAAAGGUGUUAGACCUGCUGUGGGGCUGAAAACAGGUACAGCAAAUAGAUGGCGUUACACAGGAGCUGUUCAAGAUAGUACUGGGAAAGAGCAAAGUCUUUGGAGGCCAAAAGAUGGAAUACAUUAUCAAAUCAAAGAAAGCUACAAGACUCUUGAGAACAAAAGCACCUAUAUAGUUCAUCUGUGAUUUAUAAAUGUGGCAAAAAUGAGUGGUCUUGGUUUUGCCAAUGUAUAAAACUGGACAAUCUCGGAGUCCUUCUGUGCACAUGAACAGACUUUAUACAGUCUGAAAGAAGAAAAUUACUUGUACUUUACUCUGCAUGAACACUGCCAGUUAAAUGCACUGAACAGAGGUAUGCGGGUGUGGGCACCAGGCCUCGGCUGGCCGCCAAGCAGCUCUGUAGGCAAAUAAAAUUGAUAAACCACAGAGAAUAACA
ensembl:lncRNA